CGAAUAACAAUCUUUGUCCACAAAACAUUUUUUUUUUUCAAAUUCAAACAUUAGUAUUGAAUUUAACUUGUUAAUUUUAAUUUCUGACCAACACUAUCUUCAUUUAUGAUGAUGGUGCUGAAUUAGUCUUAUUGUCAAGCGGCAAAUGUUACAUGCAUGUCGGUGACCCCUGCUUUGAACGAAGAAACGGAAUUUUAAAGUAAUUUUUCAGAAGGUUUAAAUUGUCCACAAAAAGCGAUUUCACACUUCCUAGACUAGUGGACUAGUUUUCAAGAUAUUUUGGGUCUGGCCUGUGAACUAACCAGCAGCAUCUUGCAUAUGAGGCGAUUGUGUUAUUACGAGAAAACCCAAGACUUUGAAAAACAUGACUAUCUCAUGAAAAUAAAUUAGAGGCUCAAAAAAUAACUUGCAGCUCACUUUAGUCUAUGUGUAUUUCAGCUAUGGAAACUUCAACAAUGUGAAAAUAGUUCAUGGCUAAAUUUCUCUGUUUUGUCGAUUUUUAUCAUUGCUGAUAGUUUCGGUUUUAUGUUAGCCCGGCUGUAAAUCAGGUUUAAUCCACCAUUUUCUAAAUCAGAAAAUUUCUGAACCAAGUCAGGAAUAUGACAGUUGUUAUAUGGAUAUGUUUGAGCUAUUGCUUUUGCCAUUUGAUAAG
rnacentral:lncRNA from 1 species